UAGUUAUACGCUCUGUGUAAAUCCAUUUUACUAAAAACAGCCAAACUUUUAGAUUAGCCACCAAAUCUCUUAGAUUUGAGAGGGGAUACCGAUCAAGGUCCGUCAUCCUAUUUAAUUGACAAUAGUCACCUUACAUUCGCCAGCUUUCUUUGGGGUUUGGAACGACGUGAAUAGCCGAAAAAAAUCAGGAGAAGACGAUCGUAGGAUUCCUUUCUUCAACAAAUCGUUGAUUUCGUCUCGUACAAAAUUUAACUUCUCACCAUCUAACUUGUGAGAUUUCGCAAAGCAAGGAGGACAUUAUUAUAUAUCAAUUUGAUUUCUUGAGUAUUGCAUAGUUCUGGAAUGAAGCAUGGUUCAUCCUGGAAUAACUAUUUUUUGAAAAUAUCAACUCCAACUCUGAAAUUAUAUAAAAAAUCUGCCCUUAAAAUUGGACGACCACUUUGUACCAAAAUAAAUUUCCAUUGGAAAUCUCCUAGAUUUUCUAGAUUGAGAGUUAAAGUUGUUGUACCAAUAACAUCAACAAGGGCCCCUCCAUAUCCAAUAAUAAGAGGGAGUUUUUCUCAAACAAUACUUUUAUAUUUUUUAAAUGGAAUAACAGACACUUGCGCUCCUGUAUCUACCAGAAAGUUAAUCAGAUUUGAAUUGUCUUUGAUGAAAAAGAAGUUUGAUAUUUAUUUACAACCUCGAUCCUGUGCAACCGAGGGCAAUUUAGUUUUUUGAAACAAGUACAAAAAAAGGGCAACUAGCUCCUGAACAGAUUUAGUAAAUUUGGACGUGUUAUGAAGAGGUUUUUUGAAAACAUGAUGAGGCGAAGCUGACGAGUCUUCAACAGUGGAAAUAUGUGAAUUUCUAAGUUCUUUGGCUGCAACACACAUUUGCUUCAACUCUUCAAGUGAAUGGGACUGUGCUCUCAAGUACCCAUGUUGGUCUUUAGGAACAUUUCUGAUGAGGGCCUCCUGUAGUAAAUGAUGAUGCAAAUCAUGGAUGUAUUCUACCUGAAGGAAUAGAUCUAAAAACUUCACCCGGUAAAGCUGAAGCCAUUAAACAAUAUUUGGUCUGAUCAUCAUCGAUCUUACUCAUCAAAUAAUCCACCUCAAUUCUUCGAAACCAAUUUUCCGGAUCCAUCGUCGAUAAUUUGGGAAGACGUAGUCCUGCUACGGCAAGAGUUAAGUUGCUGACCUCUUCCACUACGUACUUUUGUUCGAUCUGAGGGACAUUGUCCGCAUGGUCUUGACCAUCAGAAUGAUAUUUUUUUAGGAGGCAUGAUAUCA
rnacentral:lncRNA from 1 species